rnacentral:rRNA from 1 species
AUUGAACGCUGGCGGCAUGCCUUACACAUGCAAGUCGAACGGCAGCGCGGGAGCAAUCCUGGCGGCGAGUGGCGAACGGGUGAGUAAUAUAUCGGAACGUGCCCAGUAGUGGGGGAUAGCCCGGCGAAAGCCGGAUUAAUACCGCAUACGACCUGAGGGUGAAAGCGGGGGAUCGCAAGACCUCGCGCUAUUGGAGCGGCCGAUAUCAGAUUAGCUAGUUGGUGGGGUAAAGGCCUACCAAGGCAACGAUCUGUAGUUGGUCUGAGAGGACGACCAGCCACACUGGGACUGAGACACGGUCCAGACUCCUACGGGAGGCAGCAGUGGGGAAUUUUGCGCAAUGGACGAAAGUCUGACGCAGCAACGCCGCGUGGGUGAUGAAGGUCUUCGGAUUGUAAAACCCUGUCGCCAGGGACGAAGGGUGGGGCGUGAAUAGCGUUCUACUUUGACGGUACCUGGAAAGGAAGCCCCGGCUAACUCUGUGCCAGCAGCCGCGGU